rnacentral:tRNA from 1 species
GGGUAUAUAGCUCAGUGGUAGAGUGUGUGCUCAGCAUGCACAAGGUCCUGGAGUCAAUCCCUAGUACUUCCA